UGGGGAAUUUUGGACAAUGGGGGAAACCCUGAUCCAGCCAUCCCGCGUGUGCGAUGAAGGCCUUCGGGUUGUAAAGCACUUUUGGCAGGAAAGAAACGUCAUGGGUUAAUACCCCGUGAAACUGACGGUACCUGCAGAAUAAGCACCGGCUAACUACGUGCCAGCAGCCGCGGUAAUACGUAGGGUGCAAGCGUUAAUCGGAAUUACUGGGCGUAAAGCGUGCGCAGGCGGUUCGGAAAGAAAGAUGUGAAAUCCCAGGGCUCAACUUUGGAACUGCAUUUAUAACUACCGGGCUAGAGUGUGUCAGAGGGAGGUGGAAUUCCGCGUGUAGCAGUGAAAUGCGUAGAUAUGCGGAGGAACACCGAUGGCGAAGGCAGCCUCCUGGGAUAACACUGACGCUCAUGCACGAAAGCGUGGGGAGCAAACAGG
rnacentral:rRNA from 1 species